rnacentral:lncRNA from 1 species
GUAUUGUAUAUGUCAGAACUGUCAAGAGCAGUAAAAAAAAACUGACAGGAAAACUGUUCUCAAAAUGUCUGGUUUUUAAUAAAGUAUCUAACAUUUGAAGACCCCUUUGGAUGGGACCUGGAAAGGGAAAAGGUCAACUGGGGGAAUAUGGGGUAAAAGGCAGGAUAUCCUGAUUUGGACUCAUCGUAAGGAUGCCUACUCUGUAGGCAUCAUCCGGCUCUGCUUUUCUUGUGUUUUGUUCAUUCACAGUUAGAGCCAAGUAAAAAUUGAGACCCUUCUGUGUAGAGAGCAGAACUCAGCAAUGGUUUCUUUUAAUGGACUACAAAUCCCAGCAUCCCCCAGGCAACUUGGCCAGGUGGCUGAUAUCAAACCUUGAGUCCAUAACAGAAGCAUUUUGUUGAAGCUCGGAUGGAGAAGAAGACCCUGAUUCAAAGCUGUCAUGCUAUGAAGGAUGGACAACUUGGUCUUUAUUCCCAAGAGUGCUCGGGGAAGGGCUUCCCUCAUAUCUUAGUAUCCUUCCCCACCCCACAGCAGCUAAUGGUUUCUGCUCUGGGACUAACCACAGCUUUGGGGUAGAGAGACCGGGGAAACAGACCGGGCAUGUUCAAAGUCUCUUGCACAGCUCUGUUACUUUAAUCCUGUUCAGAGGACUCAAGGGAAAAUUAUUCUGCCCAUGCUCAUUACUUCCUAUAUUCUAGUAUUCGGUUCUAAUAUUUUUUAAAAAAUGUUCAGAGGAAAGGAAAAUAUACUUACUGUAUUUUUCCAGCUCUUAUCCAAGAAAAGAUCUGCCUCAAAAGAAGGCCAGGAAUGAUAAAGACCAGUCACUUCAAGUCUUCUUUUCAUUGGGUUGCUUGACUGCUUUCUCUUGUUUUCUUCUUCUGAGAUCCCGGCUGAAACGAGGCAGAGGUGGUUUCUCCUUCUCAGGCGCCAGGCAGCAGUUACGGUGUGGGGUUUUCUGUUCUGAGGUGUGUGCGUGUUUGUGUGUGUGUGUGGAGGGAGGUGUCCUGUGCAGUCGGGCAGGAGGCGAGGGAGAGGGCAGCUGCUUUCAGGAGAGGGCCCUGGCAGCCGACGGGUUAAACCCUGCCCCUCUUCUACUCCUCUCUCCUCCUCUGGCAAGGCAAAGCAAGGCAGGAUGCGACCCGCUCCCUCCUGACCCGAGUGGCUCCGGCACAAGAGGAAGAGCUUUUUAAAGCGCUCUGGGCUGGAAAGAGAAGGGAGCCUGUUGGAUCGAGGAAAGGGCAGAGGGAAGGCUAUUCCGUCCCACCCCCAGCUGCAGCAAGGGAGGGGUGGGGAAUGGCAAGAGGAGGGGGGGUGGGAGAGAGAGAGAGAGAGGAUAAGGAUGAGGUCCAGCCGGGAGGAGAAAGAAGCUCUCCAGCAAGUUUCCUCCAAGGUGGCCCUUCUUGCGUAUUUCUCUUUGGC